AAUGAACGCUGGCGGCAGGCCUAACACAUGCAAGUCGAACGGCGGCACAGUAAUUGCUUGCUCUUACGGGUGGCGAGUGGCGGACGGGUCAGGAAAAUAUCCGAACCUACUCUUUCGUGUGGGUUAACGUAGGGAAACUUACGCUAAUACCGCAUAUGAUGUACGAGUGAAAGCAUGGGAACUUCUCACCUUGUGCGAUUGUAUUAGCCGAUGCCGUAUUGGUUAGUUGGCGGGGUAAAUGCCCACCAAGGCGACGAUCGGUAGCCUGGCUGAGUGGAGGGUAAGCCACCCGGGAGCUGAGCCAGGGUCAAGACUCCUACGGGAGGCAGCAGUGGGGAAUAUUGGACAAAGGGCGGAAGCCUGAUCCAGUCAUACCGAGUGGGUGAAGAAGGCCUUCGGAUUGUAAAGCCCUUUUGUUGGUAAAGAACAGCAGCAGGUUAAUACCCCGCUGUUCUGACGGUACCAAAAGAAUAAGCACCGGCUAACUUCGUG
rnacentral:rRNA from 1 species